rnacentral:rRNA from 1 species
CGGAACGGGUGAGUAACGCGUGACCAACCUGCCCCAUGCUCCAGAAUAGCUCUUGGAAACGGGUGGUAAUGCUGGAUGCUCCAACUUGACGCAUGUCUUGUUGGGAAAGUGUUUAGUGGCAUGGGAUGGGGUCGCGUCCUAUCAGCUUGUAGGCGGGGUAAUGGCCCACCUAGGCUUCGACGGGUAGCCGGCCUGAGAGGGCGGACGGCCACAUUGGGACUGAGAUACGGCCCAGACUCCUACGGGAGGCAGCAGCA